AUUGAACGCUGGCGGCAGGCCUAACACAUGCAAGUCGAACGAGUGGCGGACGGGUGAGUAAUGUCUGGGAAUCUGCCCGAUGGAGGGGGAUAACUACUGGAAACGGUGGCUAAUACCGCAUACCAUCGGAUGUACCCAUAUGGGAUUAGCUAGUAGGUGGGGUAACGGCUCACCUAGGCGACGAUCCCUAGCUGGUCUGAGAGGAUGACCAGCCACACUGGGACUGAGACACGGCCCAGACUCCUACGGGAGGCAGCAGUGGGGAAUAUUGCACAAUGGGCGCAAGCCUGAUGCAGCCAUGCCGCGUGUAUGAAGAAGGCCUUAGGGUUGUAAAGUACUUUCAGCGGGGAGGCGUUACCCGCAGAAGAAGCACCGGCUAACUCCGUGCCAGCAGCCGCGGUAAUAC
rnacentral:rRNA from 1 species